rnacentral:lncRNA from 1 species
UGUGGCUAUGAGGUAGUAGGCUAAUAUUUAAUUGUACUGUAUUUCUUUAUACAUUUAAGCCUAAAGUGAAAUUCAGCACCAGACUAAAUUACAAUACAGCCCCUUGAAAGUUCCGCCCUUGACAGGCAGUGUUAUAUUAAGGUAGCCUAUUCUGGUUUGGGGCCUGGGGGACUCUUCAGUCAAUAAGAGGAGGAGGAUGCCCUUCAAUCUCAUGAUUAGCUCCUUGAAUUUCUAAGGCCAUCUCCAGCCAUGGGUUAUAUCUCAAAUAUAGCCCUAAAUUGAUGCAAAACUCAUCUCCAGUCAUGGACUAAAUAAAAUUUUGGCCAAAUUUGGCCCUUUAGCCCUCCAACCAGGCCAAAUGUACCCUAGCUUUGGCCUAGGAUAAAUUUAUAGUAGGCCUCAUUCAUGUGAUUUUCAACAACCAAUCAUUAGAGCACUACCCACUCCUCUUUCUGAAAAUAAUAAAAUAUGAAGGAUCCUAAAAUAUAGCCAUGCAUGGCUGGAGAUGGAAAAAUUUAGCCCUACAUUAUUCUUUAAAAAAUUAAUAUUUGAAGGGGCUAAAUUUUUACCCAUGGACUACAUUUAGCCCUAUGGCUGGAGAUGACCUAAGUGACAGUGCAUUACGAAUAAAGAGGGGAAGAGGGGAUACAUUUUUAUACCAACCACUUGUUAUUAUUUUUUGAGAUAUUUAGUCAUAUAUCCGUUCUUAGCACUAAUAAUAUAGAUAAACUUUACACCAUUUAAUUUCUAUAAAUAAACCCAAAAAAAAACAGCUGACCUUAUUGAAUUUAAUUUUGAUUAUUAAAUUACUUUGAUGCCCUAUUGAGUGUUUUGGGUGUUUUUAUGAGGUUUUGGGGUUGAGCUUGUUUUAAGAAAUUGAUGGUAGCUUUGUAAUUUAUAAGAAGUUAAAAGCCUCUUUGUUAUGUUGUAAAUGGACUUUUGGUGUGUUUCUAAGAUCCAUUUCAUAUAGGGUUUUUUAUUUUUUUUAUUUUAUAAUUUAGGCUCCUAUAUUGG